GGAUGACCGGGACAUGAAGGAGGGGGAUCAGAUGCGGAUCUGGUAGCCGUCGUUGAGCGUGCUGAGCUCCGGAGGUUUCCUCUCCACCGAGGCCGGCCUAACAGACAGAGCAGAUAAACGAUUUCUGCAGUGCAUCUUUGAAAGUGAAAGAAAAAAGUGAGAAAAAAGUAAAAGAUGUGAAGCAGAUGGAAAAUGAGAGAGAUUCAGCCGUCUGCCAUUUCUCAGCAAGAGGUUCGAUAAGCCAGAAAGUCAUCAGAUUUAAUCCUCAGUGCUCUUUCUUCUCUUCUUCUUGCCCUCUCUUUUCAUAUCAUCUCCUCCUCUCUUCUCCUCCCUUUAUCCUCUCUUUUAAGGAAGCGUCCAAGCCCUCUCUCUGUGACAUAUCAAGGACAAGUGCUAAAAGUCAAACUGUUGAACUGUUUUUAUUUCUCCUCCUCUCAUCCCUCUGUUUUCCUCUGGCAGGCCUCGUCCCUCUCUCCACCUUUUUCUAACAUUUCUUCUCCUCUUUUCUUUCUGCCUGUCUUUCUUUCACAUUUUCUACCAUCCUUUACUCUCAUCUUUUACUGUUCUUCUUUUUGCCCUCUCUACUCCUAUUUCUUUGCUUUUUAUUGUUAUUGACCAUCUCUACCCAGAGGGAAGUGAGGAAGUAAGAUGUUCACAGAAUUUUAUUUUAAAAUCUAUUUGAAUGUUGUUUUUAAUAUAUUUCAAUGUCUAAUGUUAUUUCACUUAAUUUAGCUUUGUGUUGUAUUAGUUUGUGUAUAGCAGGCAGUGCUGCUAACCGCCUCCUGUAACGUCUUACCCAUGCUGCUAAAAUAACCCAGUGCUUGAAGUGUUGCAGUUAAAACCAGCAGCAGAUUAUUAAACUAUCUCUGUUGGAGUGGUCUGUCUGAAGUGGCAACAUGUUGUUAACUGUGUAAGUGCUCUGUUGAUAACAGUAAUAGCUUUUAAAGUACCACAUUCAAGUGGUUUAAAGUGGUAAUGUGCUGUUCUGCUGUGUUCUCAUCAGUCCUGAAUAGUUUUUCUGAACUGAUGAGACCAUUAACUUUUACAAAAGAUUAAAAUAACAAUGAGUCAGACUGAACCCUUAAGGGAAAGGAAGCAGAUUUAUGUUAAUGAGGACACUUUUUAACAUCCCACAACUCACAGAGUAAUAAAGUCCUUUCUCCAACUUG